rnacentral:tRNA from 1 species
GUCUCCAUGGCCCAGCUGGCUAAGGCGUCCGACUGUUAAUCGGGAGAUCGGCAGUUCGAUCCUGCCUGGGGACG